UACGGAGGGGGCUAGCGUUGUUCGGAAUUACUGGGCGUAAAGCGCACGUAGGCGGCUUUGUAAGUUAGAGGUGAAAGCCCGGGGCUCAACUCCGAAACUGCCUUUAAGACUGCAUCGCUAGAAUUGUGGAGAGGUAAGUGGAAUUCCGAGUGUAGAGGUGAAAUUCGUAGAUAUUCGGAAGAACACCAGUGGCGAAGGCGACUUACUGGACACAUAUUGACGCUGAGGUGCGAAAGCGUGGGGAGCAAACAGG
rnacentral:rRNA from 1 species